rnacentral:rRNA from 1 species
GACGAACCGAGCGAACGUUGUUCGGAAUCACUGGGCUUAAAGGGCGCGUAGGCGGGUUCUCAAGUCCGGGGUGAAAUCCCACAGCUCAACUGUGGAACUGCCUCGGAUACUGGGUGCCUCGAGGGUGGUAGGGGUAUGCGGAACUAUCGGUGGAGCGGUGAAAUGCGUUGAUAUCGAUAGGAACUCCGGUGGCGAAGGCGGGUCUCUGGGCCGUAACUGACGCUGAGGAGCGAAAGCGUGGGGAGCGAACAGG